UCCCUGGUGGUCCAGUGGCUAACACUCUGCACUUUCAAUGCAGGGGACAUGGGUUCAAUCCUUAGUCAGGGAA
rnacentral:tRNA from 1 species